rnacentral:rRNA from 1 species
AGCUCCAAUAGCGUAUAUUAAAGUUGUUGCAGUUAAAAAGCUCGUAGUUGGAUUUCUGGUUCAGAGGGCUUGGCCCAUGGCCAAUUUUAGGUUCAUGAGUGCCGAUGCUUUCGUACCAUCCUUUCGGUGAUGAUUCAGGUCCCCUUCAUUGGGUCAGCCUGGUUGUUCCGGAUCUUUUACUUUGAAAAAAUUAGAGUGUUUAAAGCAAGCUGUGUGUUGAAUACAUUAGCAUGGAAUAAUAAUCUAGGACUUUGGUUCUAUUUUGUUGGUUUCUAGCGCCAAAGUAAUGAUUGAUAGGGAUAGUUGGGGGUGCUAGUAUUUACCGGCCAGAGGUGAAAUUCUUGGAUUCGGUAAAGACUAACUUAUGCGAAAGCAUUCACCAAGGAUGUCUUCUUUA